UAUAAUAAUAACAUCUUUGUUGGCCCAGUCGAAGGCACCCUUGAGAUCAACGAAAGCUCUAAGGCUAGUAUUAACGCUUUGGCCACUAGGUAUACGAUAAAGGAAGAUUAGAACAUGGCUAAGGGAUGCUGGCGUUGGGUAGCCUGUACGUGACGGAGAAGCAGAGACGAGGGAAGGGAGGCGGAAGGUUGAAGGUAGCCCGGCAGGGUGGAUGGGACAAGGGGGAGUGUGUGGCGUGAGGAUAACAAGCAGUUAGCAGCGUCUUGUUCCAUGUCCCUGUGCGAAAGUAUGGCAAGAAAACAAAUCGAGUGCGGUAUAUAAUUAAUCUCCCACCAAUCUCAUCUUUUUCUUAGCGCUGAAAUGUGUCUCGGUGAGCACAAAGUUAGUGUGAUCUUAUAGUGAGGUGUGGAUGUGAGGGCGUGAGGUGGGAGUGUGUCAGCCAAAGGAAGGGCAGCGCAUUCGAAGACAGCCGAGGUGAUCCCACACCAGCUGAACAUAUCCUCGGCCUUUUGUCUUGUGGCGGCGGGCGAGUGAGGUUCCUUGUGUGUGUGCGCGUGGCGUCGCGGUUAGUGAAGUGAUGCUGUGCAUUAGUUUAUCCUAUUGAGUGCGUCUUCCUCGCGUUGGAUUUGGUGAGUACCCAUAUCACAGGUCACACCGUGGGACUGUCACCGCUGGAGCAACCCUUCGGAAUAAAGUAAAGUACGUUAAUUACGGUUUGCUAGGCGUUAGGUGUUAGGCACAAGGCGAUAGGCGGCGCGGCUAACCAUUCUCUUCCAGGUACAUGUUAAUUAUCUAGUCUUCCCCAGUAAUGCUUUGGUUAGCGCACCGUGGCGGCGAUCCAGGAGCCUCGUGCUGGUGGUGGUGGUGGUGGCGUGGCUGGCUGGCUGGCUGGCUGUGGCGGGCGUGCACGUGCUAUCAUAUGGUAUGUGAAUGAUUGAGUUUAGUAGGGUUAGUGAAAUGAUGGCCCUUGACAUUCAUUCCCAAUGCUUGUGGCUCUAUUAACUGUUUUCGGUGAGCAGUGACUGUGCGGCGGCAGGGGUGAGGAAGGGAGACGUGAGGGGCGGCCAGGUGGUGGUGGACAGUGACCGGCGCCCGCCACAGUGACAAGCCUACACGAACAUAGUGACAAUAGCCAUGAUAACAACGAAAAGAACAGCGUGUGUGUAGCCUCGGUAAACACGGACACAAGAUGGGUUAGGAUGUCUGUGUGUGUGUGGCUGGGGGUGAGUGGGGUACCUACUGCUGGUGACGGCAGCAGCCAAGACCAGCCGCAGUCUUCACCAGCAGCAAACGUGAUUACCCGUAUCACAGGUCACACCGUGGGACUGUCACCGCUGGAGCAACCCUUCGGAAUAAAGUAAAGUACGUUAAUUACGGUUUGCUAGGCGUUAGGUGUUAGGCAUAGGGCGAUAGGCGGCGCGGCUAACCAUUCUCUUCCAGGUACAUGUUAAUUAUCUAGUCUUCCCCAGUAAUGCCUUGGUUAGCGCACCGUGGCGGCGAUCCAGGAGCAUCGUGCUGGUGGUGGUGGUGGUGGUGGCGUGGCUGGCUGGCUGUCUGUCUGUCUGUCUGUGGCGGGCGUGCACGUGCUAUCAUAUGGUAUGUGAAUGAUUGAGUUUCGUAGGGUUAGUGAAAUGAUGGCCCUUGACAUUGAUUCCUAAUGCUUGUGGCUUUAUUUAACUGUUUUCGGUGAGCAGUGACUGUGCGGCAGCAGGGGUGAGGAAGGGAGACGUGAGGGGCGGCCAGGUGGUGGUGGACAGUGACCGGCGCCACAGUGACAAGCCUACACGAACAUAGUGACAAUAGCCAUGAUAACAACGAAAAGAACAGCGUGUGUGUAGCCUCGGUAAACACGGACACAAGAUGGGUUAGGAUGUGUGUGUGUGUGGCUGGGGGUGAGUGGGUACCUACUGCUGGUGACGGCAGCAGCCAAGACCAGCCACAGUCUUCACCAGCAGCAAACGCUCAGGCGUGUAGAUGGGAGCAGGAGAAGAAAGAACAAAGGAAGAGGACGAAGAAGAAAG